UACGGAGGGUGCAAGCGUUAUCCGGAUUCACUGGGUUUAAAGGGUGCGUAGGCGGGUUGGUAAGUCCGUGGUGAAAUCCCCAAGCUUAACUUGGGAACUGCCGUGGAUACUAUCAAUCUUGAAUAUCGUGGAGGUAAGCGGAAUAUGUCAUGUAGCGGUGAAAUGCUUAGAUAUGACAUAGAACACCAAUUGCGUAGGCAGCUUACUAAACGAUCAUUGACGCUGAGGCACGAAAGCGUGGGGAGCAAACAGG
rnacentral:rRNA from 1 species